UGAAAGACGAUGACGGGGACAGUACUAACUGUGGAGGGUUACAGAGAGCCUGGCAGCUGAGAACAGGUACCGGAAGCAGUUACGAAGAUCACCCCUGAGUUGCCCGCUGAACAUGGAGUAGGCGGUGCCGGCGGCAUCCGUUAUCUGCCUAGAAGCGAAGGCCGCUGGCCUUAACUAGGGUGGUACCGCGGGCUCUGCUCGUCCCUUUU
rnacentral:ncRNA from 1 species